GUGCUCGCUCGGCAGCACAUGUACUAAAAUUGGAACAAAACAGAGAUUAGCAUGGCCCCUGCGCAAGGAUGACAUGAAAUCUGCGAAGCGUCCCACAUUUGA
rnacentral:snRNA from 1 species